ensembl:lncRNA
AAAUUCUACAGUACAUUUUUUACAGUGUACUUUCUAUUUACUCCAUCAUGAGUACUUCAACGGUCAAGGACAGUUGGAAAAGAGUGAUUGAGCAAUCGCCAAUAAAGAAAAAAUUUAAAGAUUCCACCAUCACUAAAGAAGAGCUCGACGGCGCCAUUGCUAACGGUAUUAAGCUAGCACUUAAAGAGCAGCAAAGUACUUUGGAUUCGGUUGUGGCCUCGACAGUAAAAGAUGUGAUAGUCUCUGUACUGACCCCGGUAUUGUGUGACCUGCGUAUGGACAUACUAGUGACCAACAAAUCUGUAAAAGAGCUAAAAGCAGAAGUUGAAAAGCUAGCCAUUGCAGCAAAACAGACACGUGGCCGGGUCGAUUCCAUUCAAGCAGCUGCACGUGAGGAUAGGAGAACAGUCACAAACCUGAGAAAACAGCUAGAACAACUUACCGAUAAAGUGACAAACAUGGAGGAUAGGAGCAGGAGAAAUAACGUGCGACUGGUGGGGUUACCAGAGGGGGUGGAAGGCUCAGAUUCAGCCGGUUUCCUCAGAGCUAAUCUUUUCAAGUGGAUUCCUGCACUGAAGGGACGCAAUAUUGAGAUUGAGCGGGUUCAUCGCGUGUAUGAUGGAAGAAAAAGUAACUCAGAGCAGCUGUGUACUCUUAUCUUUCGUGUGCUGAGAUGGGAGGACAGAUUGGCGAUCCUGAAGGGUGCACGGCAGGCAUACCUGGUGAAAUGUACACAGGAUAAUGUCAUGCUGCUGUUUUUUCCUGACUUCGGUCCAGCCACAUCUGCCAGGAGAAGGAACCUCAACCCAGCCCUUAGGAGGAUGACAGCACUGGGUCUGCAGCCGUUUCUGGAGCUAAUGGACAGUAUGUUUGAUUACUAGUUCUUGACACUGGGCUUUUUGGGGACAGGUUUUGUGUUGGUGUGGAUCGGUCACGUAUCCAAAUAUUUUGCUGUUUUUUUGGAUUGUGCCAUUUUCUGGUCGACCAUCUGUUUCCUCUGUGUGUGGUGGAAUUGUUGAUCACAUUACAAUGCCUUUUUCUGUCA